rnacentral:rRNA from 1 species
GACAGAGGUGCCGAGCGUUAGGCGGAAUCACUGGGCUUAAAGCGUGUGUAGGCGGGCCGUUAAGUGUCUUGUGAAAUCCCCCGGCUCAACCGGGGAAUUGCUGGGCAUACUGGCGGUCUUGAGCAAUCUAGGGGCAGAUGGAACAAGUGGUGGAGCGGUGAAAUGCGUAGAUAUCACUUGGAACGCCAAAGGUGAAGACAGUCUGCUGGGGAUUUGCUGACGCUGAGACACGAAAGCCAGGGAGCGAACGGG